AGGAGACGAAGGAGGAAGAAGAGAGCCUUCUUGUGCAAAGUAGCAAGUGACGAAGAGGAACUCAUAGCUGGAGACAACGAGCCUGAAACCUUCGAAGACUUUUGGCUAUCCUAGAAAAAUUAGAAGUUUCGUUUUGGAUAUUUGUAAGACCCAUGUGAAGAUUUAAAACUUUCUUUUGGGAUGUAAUGUAAUGGAACCAUCUUUUGGAUUAAGUAUA